rnacentral:tRNA from 1 species
GCCCGCAUAGCUCAGUUUGGCAGAGCACCUGAUUUGUAAUCAGGCGGUCCUUGGUUCGAUUCCGAGUGCGGGCUCCA